ACCAAAUGAAUGAGUGCUCGUACUCCUCAGCAAUAGCUCCCCAUGAACAAUCCAUCUCCCACUGCUCGUGUCCUGCAGCUUGGUCUUCUCCCCUGCUGUCCAUGGAGAACAACUGAUGUGAGGGUGGAAAAGGCUCUCUUUAAUGCUUCCAGAGCUAUACUUUCUGAACACAUACUGUGAAAGGUAGACAUUACUAUUUCUCCUCAUUCAUAUAUAUGAAGAUGCCAGUCUGAGCUUUCUGUAUUCUAUUACAGAUCACAUUUAGCAUAUGGAAAGCUUUUAAAUAUGUAUUACAUAAUAUUGAAUAUAUGUAUUAAAAAAAUAAACUUAUUCCUUGUGUUUC